AUCGGUGCAGCGUGCUGCAGUGAUGCAGACUUUGCAUCGGUCCGUUGUGAUGAAGAACGAGCUAAGCCGAAAGGCGAAGGUCUCAAUUAACCUGUCAAUCUACGUUCCUACCCUCACCUAUGGUCACGAGCCGUGGGUCGGCUCUCUAAGGGAGACACACAUUUAUAUACAUACAGUAUUACCUUAUGGUGCUUUAUGAAUUCUUCUGUCUGAACAAAAUCAAUAAGACGUCAAAUGACAUGUUGACUGAAAUGCCGGAUAGCCGCAGUGACGUCAGCGCGAGUAUAAAGAAGCCUUUAUACUCGAGCGCAACCCACGCGCGCAGUUUUGAAAAUGUACUGCAGUUCACCUCCAAGUCGAGGGUGUCGCUACUGCUGGUAUUGGCUAGGACACCGUCGGGGGGAGUCAUCACAGCAUGUGACUAAAACGGACCAAUCACGAGAGAUGAUCUCCGCGGCGUUCGACGCGCAGCAACCAUUUUUUCUUAGCUUAGCUUGCUAACAAACAGACGCGUUUGUGAUCAACACAUCGCCAUGCAGAGAGGCAAGGAUUGUGACCAUCGUGUGCAAAUACGUGCAAGAAGGACAGCAGAGUACGAGGAAGAACUUUGGGGAACAAAAGAGCGACAAAGUCAACUACUGGACGCUGUUCGCAAGAAGCAGCCGCGAAUUGUGUUCACAGCAGAUGACAGUGAAGAUCUUUGUCCUGAGUGGCAGGAGCAAGAGACCCCUCACAUUAAAGAGGAGGAGAAGGAUGAAGAGUUCCAUCAGAUCAAAGAGGAAGAUGAGCUGCAGCCCCCUUACAUUAAAAAAGAGGAGGAGGAAGCUCACUGCUACAUCAAGGAGGAAGAGGAGGAGGAGACUAUCACCAUGGUGCGAUUGACUGGUGUUCCUUUUAAGAGUGAGGAUGAAGAUGGUCAAAGUGAGGACAACGGAGGGGCGCAGCCUCCAAGCAGCAGCUCAAGUCAACACAUGACAACAGAAGGCGACAGAGGCCACUGCGGUAGACAAGUAGACGGCCUCUCGGCCCCACUAUCAAAUUGUGACGACAUGUCACACUCUUCUGACUAUGAUGAUGAUGAUGAUGAUAAGCAGUCUGAAGGUCACGCUGACAAGAAACACUGGAAAUGUUCUCAGUGUAAGAAAGCUUUUAAAAAAAACAGUGAUUUGAAACAACACAUGAGAACACACUCUGGAGAGAAGCCUUUUGCCUGCUCAGUUUGUAGUCAAACAUUCUCUCAGAAAGGAAGCUUAAGAAAACACACAAGAAUACACACUGGUGAGAAACCUUUUGCCUGCUCAGUUUGUGGUCAAACAUUCUCUGAGAAUGGAAGCUUAAGAAGACACACAAGAACACACAGUGGGGAAAAACCCUUUUCCUGCUCAGUUUGUGGUCAAAAAUUCUCUCAAAAGGCACAUUUGGCAACACACACAAGAACACACACUGGGGAGAAAGCUUUUGCCUGCUCAGAUUGCGGUAAAAGAUUCUUUCGAAAGGGAGCGUUAAAAAUACACACAAGAACCCACACUGGAGAGAAACCUUUUUCCUGCUCAGUUUGUGGCAGAAGAUUCUCUCAGAAGCAUCAUGUUAAGCCACACAAGUGUUUCGGUGUGAAUAGCGGUGAUUUGGAAUGUGAAUCUAAACCGGUUCCUGUUGCGGACCGGUUCUAAAGUUAACGAUUCCUUGGAAUCGUUUGCCUAAUUUCUAAUCAGUUCUUUUAUUGAUCCUAGUAGGGGUUGUAAUCGCGCACCUUUAGCAGCCUGUGCAACAUGUGGACAAGCGAAACCAGCACAGAUGUGCCAGCACCCGGCCUGGCGGCCGAGCCACCAUACCUGGUCCCAGUCCCCCAGGAGACCCUAAAAAUGAGAUAUGAGUGUGCCCAAUGUGCGGAGUAUGUACAGUGAACAGGGCCAGAAGGCGGGCCCGACCGAGGUGGGAGGCACUGACACCCACCAUGUGCCCCAAGUCAGCCGGGGAGAGAAGGGCGACGACCACGGCGGCACGCCCCAAGGAGAGGGAAGAGGAAGGCACAGGCCCGGGCUGCAGCAGCACGACCCCCAAGCCCCCACCCGGAGUCCAGGACGAGACCCCCAGAGGGGGGGCAACGGGCACCACCCCGGCACCCGGGGACGUAGAGCAGCCCCAGGAUCGGCAUCCCCCAGGAGGGCAACACGGACACAGCCAUACCCGAGGAGGAGGGGGGGCACAGGCAAAGCAUCCCCAGACGCCGACCUCGUAAAUCCAGAAGGAUAGGGGUUGAAAUGGAUGGAAGUGACCCUAUGGUGUGCACAGGGGUCUAAAAUGACGAGAAAUUAUUUGGUCACAUUUCAUUGCAUUUACAUUACAUUUCUGUAUCAUGUUCUUUCCCAGGCAAGCACAAUCGAGUUUCAAGGUUCACCAUUUUCAUGAAAGGUGACCAACCUUUCUCAAAGUCAUCCAUUAUUACGUUUGGCAGAGAUAUUGUCGAGUGUUAUAUACUCUAUGACAAGAUUUUGCCUUUGGUUAAUAUUGAUAGCUCGUUUAUUUUUCCAGUUUAACAGUAUUAUUUUUUUAGCGCUAGCUAGAAUUACAAGUAUUGGUUGGACAUGUUUAUUUGGAAGAUCUAUAACUUUUUAAAUCAGCCAGCAGAGAAAGAUUAGGAGAAAUCGGAAUCCUACAGUUCAAAAUUGAGGAAAGUUUGUGUAACUAGUGACCAGAAGUGCUAUACUGGUGUACAAUGCGAAAGAGCAUGAAAAUAAGUGUCUGGAGCAUUUUCAGUACAAUGUUUGAUUUUGAAUAGCCCAUUUUAUGCAUGCUAUAUUGUGUAACGUGUGAUCUAUGGCGUACUUUGAACUGGAUUAUCUGUAAAUUACAGUUUUUUUGUCAUUAAGAAUGUGUUUCUAUAGAUUUGUGCCCAGUGUCAGUCGACCCUGAGAGGUCUUUUUCCCAUUUUGUGACUGAGUUACAUCGAGCGAGCUGAGCCAUCCGAAACUGCAGCAAAAUAAAUGUUGUUUACAGGAUCUUGCAAAAGAGGAAGGCAGCAGAAUGUUCCAGUUGACAGCUACAGGAAAAACAAGUCAUCCACCAGAGAAAGGGGGAAGACAGAAGGUCAAGAUGACCGGGAGCCAACUGUGAGGAGGAACGCCGCCCUCCCCGUACUUGUGUUGUAAACUUCAUAUAUUGUCCAUGGACCGGAGCGAGAGGCACUUUUUCCCUUCUCAAAUCUGCAUGGCGGAGGCGAGUUCGGUGGCAGGGAAAGAAAAAGGCCCAGAAUUCUGAUUUCUGUACAUGGCUGAGCACCUGACAUAUAAACAGAUCAAACUGCAA